AGUUAGCCAGUUCAAAGAGAACCUUUUACCUUGAAAGUAUAAUAAGAAGGUUAAAAUCCUUCACUAACUU
rnacentral:tRNA from 1 species